UACGAAGGGGGGCUAGCGUUGCUCGGAAUCACUGGGCGUAAAGGGUGCGUAGGCGGGUCUUUUAAGUCAGGGGUGAAAUCCUGGAGCUCAACUCCAGAACUGCCUUUGAUACUGAGGAUCUUGAGUUCGGGAGAGGUGGAGUGGAACUGCGAGUGUAGAGGUGAAAUUCGUAGAUAUUCGGAAGAACACCAAGUGGCGAAGGCGAACUCGCUGGA
rnacentral:rRNA from 1 species